UACAGAGGGGGGCAAGCGUUAUUCGGAAUUAUUGGGCGUAAAGGGCGCGUAGGCGGCCUGGCAAGUGGAUGGUGAAAUCCCUCGGCUUAACCGAGGAACUGCCGUCCAAACUGCUUCGCUUGAGACCGGGAGAGGUGAGUGGAAUUCCCAGUGUAGCGGUGAAAUGCGUAGAGAUCGGGAGGAACACCAGUGGCGAAGGCGGCCAUCUGGAUCAACACUGACGCUGAGGCACGAAAGCGUGGGGAGCAAACAGG
rnacentral:rRNA from 1 species